GGGAGGUAUUGUCCGUCCCUCCCGACUUUGUAGAAUCGUCGCCGGCUCACCUGGCCGUGGGCGCGUCCUGGCCGCUGCAGCCCGGAGCGGGGUACCAGCCGCCGCCGCCGCCGCCAUGGUGUCCCCGGUCACUGUGGUGAAGAGUGAAGGACCCAAACUGGUGCCAUUCUUCAAGGCCACCUGCGUGUAUUUUGUGCUCUGGCUGCCUUCAUCUAGCCCAUCGUGGGUCAGCACCCUCAUCAAGUGCCUGCCCAUCUUCUGCCUCUGGCUCUUCCUUCUGGCCCAUGGCCUGGGAUUCCUGCUGGCCCACCCUAGUGCCACCCGCAUCUUUGUGGGGCUUGUCUUCUCUGCUGUAGGUGACGCCUUCCUCAUCUGGCAGGAUCAAGGAUACUUCGUGCAUGGUCUGCUGAUGUUUGCUGUGACCCACAUGUUCUACGCCUCAGCCUUUGGCAUGCGGCCACUGGCUCUUCGGACAGGUCUGGUGAUGGCAGUGCUGUCGGGCCUGUGCUAUGCCCUCCUCUACCCAUGCCUCUCAGGUGCCUUCAUCUACCUGGUGGGGGUCUAUGUGGCCCUUAUCGGCUUCAUGGGCUGGCGAGCUAUGGCAGGGCUGCGGCUGGCCAGGGCAGACUGGCGCUGGACAGAGCUGGCAGCUGGCAGUGGUGCGCUCUUCUUUAUCAUCUCAGACCUGACCAUUGCCCUCAACAAAUUCUGUUUUCCUGUGCCCUACUCUCGGGCGCUUAUCAUGUCCACCUACUAUGCGGCCCAGAUGCUCGUCGCCCUGUCAGCUGUCGAAAGCCGGGAGCCUGUGGAACACUACAGACUGACCAAGGCCAACUGAGGUGCCAGGGUCUGGUCACCCCUCUCUCCUCCUGGGGCUGGGGCCCAGAUCCUGGGAACCUGCAGGAGCUGGAUCAGGAUGGCUGCAGUGCCAGCCUGGGGCAGCAGGCACUGCCUGAGGAAUUUGCAAGUUCGAGUAGGGAGGCUGGAAAAGGAUCUCCCUAGCAGAACUCGUGGUCCAGGACAAUGCUGAGAGCUAAAAGAGCCAGCCUAAUACCUGACUGGAGCCAGAAGUAGCCAUCUCCCCACCUCUACCCUAUCAGGACUUUCAAAACCCCCCUGGAAGCCCCGUCACUGUGUACUUGUUGCUGAAGACACGCUCGGCUGCCGUGUACCAG